rnacentral:rRNA from 1 species
AUUGAACGCUGGCGGCCGGCCUAACACAUGCAAGUCGAACGAGUGGCGGACGGGUGAGUAAUGUCUGGGAAACUGCCCGAUGGAGGGGGAUAACUACUGGAAACGGUAGCUAAUACCGCAUACCAUCGGAUGUGCCCAGAUGGGAUUAGCUUGUAGGUGAGGUAACGGCUCACCUAGGCGACGAUCCCUGGCUGGUCUGAGAGGAUGACCAGCAACACUGGAACUGAGACAGGGUCCAGACUCCUACGGGAGGCGGAAGUGGGGAAGAUUGCACAAUGGGCGCAAGGCGGAAGCAGCCAUGCCGCGGGUAUGAAGAAGGCCUGCGGGAUGUAAAGUACUUUCAGCGGGGAGGCGUUACACGCAGAAGAAGCACCGGCUAACUCCGUGCAAGCAGCCGCGGUAAUAC